UACGAAGGGUGCGAGCGUUGUCCGGAAUUACUGGGCGUAAAGAGCUUGUAGGCGGUCUGUCGCGUCGAUUGUGAAAUCUUGCAGCUCAACUGCGAGCCUGCAGUCGAUACGGGCAGACUAGAGUACUUCAGGGGAGACUGGAAUUCCUGGUGUAGCGGUGAAAUGCGCAGAUAUCAGGAGGAACACCGGUGGCGAAGGCGGGUCUCUGGGAAGUAACUGACGCUGAGAAGCGAAAGCGUGGGUAGCGAACAGG
rnacentral:rRNA from 1 species